rnacentral:misc_RNA from 1 species
UAAACAUCAUAGAAAAUAAUCAAAUGAGCCGUUCUAUUUUGUGUUAAUUUACAGAUCUGUUUCUCUAAUUUGAUUUCUAUUGUUUUAAAUCUAGCUCGGGUCUGCAAAUUACGAAAACUUAGCUUUCAAUUAGCCUCUCAAACGCAAUAAAUAGCACGCAAUUUGGGAUGAGUUCAUCGAUUUACUGUUUAAUAUCGUCGAUGCCACAUUAUAAGUGAUCCUUUGCUGGUUGAUGUAUUGGUGAAAGUUUUAUUUGAUUUCUG